GUUGGUGAACCAGCGGAGGGAUCAUUACCGAGUUUACAACUCCCAAACCCCUGUGAACAUACCUACGUUGCUUCGGCGGACCACCUCAACCCCCUCGGGGCGAGGGGCCGCCAGAGGACCCAAAACCCAACUGUUUUUUCCGUAACGAAACCUAUUCUGAGUGGAAUUAUUAAAUAAAUCAAAACUUUCAACAACGGAUCUCUUGGCUCUG
rnacentral:misc_RNA from 1 species